GGUUAAGCGACUAAGCGUACACGGUGGAUGCCCUGGCAGUCAGAGGCGAUGAAGGACGUGCUAAUCUGCGAAAAGCGUCGGUAAGGUGAUAUGAACCGUUAUAGCCGGCGAUGUCCGAAUGGGGAAACCCAGUGCAAUUCGUUGCACUAUCGUUAACUGAAUACAUAGGUUAACGAGGCGAACCGGGGGAACUGAAACAUCUAAGUACCCCGAGGAAAAGAAAUCAACCGAGAUUCCCCCAGUAGCGGCGAGCGAACGGGGAGCAGCCCAGAGUCUGAAUCAGCUUGUGUGUUAGUGGAACGGUCUGGAAAGUCCGACGGUACAGGGUGAUAGUCCCGUACACCAAAAUGCACAGGUUGUGAACUCGAAGAGUAGGGCGGGACACGUGGUAUCCUGUCUGAAUAUGGGGGGACCAUCCUCCAAGGCUAAAUACUCCUGACUGACCGAUAGUGAACCAGUACCGUGAGGGAAAGGCGAAAAGAACCCCGGCGAGGGGAGUGAAAAAGAACCUGAAACCGUGUACGUACAAGCAGUGGGAGCACCUUCGGGUGUGACUGCGUACCUUUUGUAUAAUGGGUCAGCGACUUAUAUUCUGUAGCAAGGUUAACCGUAUAGGGG
rnacentral:rRNA from 1 species